rnacentral:tRNA from 1 species
GGGCAGAUAGCUCAGUUGGUAGAGCGUCCCUCCGGGAUAGGAAGGUCCCGAGUUCGACCCUCGGUCGGCCCA